CCCCGCGCCUCAAAAAGAGAAAAGAAAAAUAUACCAUCCAAAUAUCAGUCAUAUAAUUUCCUUAUAUUAAAAGUAACUUUCAUUAUUGUUGCCCGUAAACAACAAAUGGCAUUUUUAUUACUGUAAUUAUAUCUCUCCUUUCCUCCAAGGAGCUGAAGGUGGUCUGCGGGGCUCCCACUCCGCCACUCCAUUUUAUCCUCACAACAAACCUCUGAGGCACUGAAGGCAGACAAGAAGUGAGUGGACAACCCAACGUGAAAAAUGGAGUGUGAACGGUUGCCAAGUCCGUUGCCAGCAUGGUCAGAUUCUGCACACGGAAUGCGACUGAGUUUCUUCUUUGCAUAGACAGCAAAAGGGAAGAAAAGGCAUGGGCUGCUCUCUGGGGUCUCCUGGGCUCUGCACUCUCCUGGUGUGAUUCAGACCAGACCCCUUUCUCCUCCUUCGAUUUGCA